AGAGUCAGAGCUGGUGCGAGCAGCUUCAGCCUCUCCAAGGAAUAGUCCAUAAAGGCAGUAUUUCCCACCUCUGUAUUUCAGGUCUGGCAAGAGGAUUAAGAAGACCAGGAAGUACGACAUAAUCACCACCCCGGCCGAGCGGGUAGAAAUGGCUCCUCUGAACGAAGAAGACGACGAGGACGAAGACUCAACAGUGUUUGAUGUGAAAUACAGGUAAAGCAGCUCCGUGGAGCAUCGGUGCCCUGCAAGACGUCAUUCUGCUGUCGAGGGACCUGCUGAACCCAUAACUGUGAAAGGGGAGGCUUUCAUCUCUGCAGCAUUACAACCAAACCAAGCCUCACCUCCUCCAGGUGCUGUUUGUACAGCAGGCUGUGUGUCUUCUGACUAGAACAGCACCAUUUGGUUCCCUGGUGUCCCAACUCCUGUGUUGGAAUGACCAGAGUUCCUCUUUGCUCUCGCUUUAGGAGGGCUGCAGUGUCACCAAAGCAUGACAAGGUGCAGCUCCUUUUGUUCUACAUAUGUUUUGCAGAAGGAGGAAGACAAGGAAGAUUAAACUAAGCUGCCCAAGGACUUAUUUUCUAAAAUCCUAAUUCCACACUCCUGUCACUGUUAAACUUCGGUCAUUGUUGAACGGAUCAUGUGUUUAAAAAAAAAAAUCAAGAAGUAUUUUUGGGCCUUACGGAGGUGACUUAGGACUAAAGAUGGUAAAAAUGUAAGCCAUGCUGAAAUGCCAUGCUAUGUUUGGUGUAGGGUUUUGGGUGGGAAGGGGUUGGGAGGUUGACUCACGUAGGAAAUUUUCUUGACUUGCUACUGAUUUUUUUUUUUAAAACAAGAAUUGCACUAAGUUUUCACGAUGACACUCUCAUUGUCCCAAGGAGCUCUGAUCAGAUCAACUUCAGUAAGUGAGACCACAGGGAAAUAGGAAGAAUCAGGCAUACUCUAAACUACAACAAUCUUGGAUUAAAGAAGAUAUAUUUUUGUAAUUUUCUGCCCUUCCACUGGGAGUAAAACCAGUGUUUUGUACUGUCCUGUGCUGACUGUAACUUGUCUACAAUUCAUUACCUUUUUCUAAGCAAAGUAAGUCUUCAUGUGGAGUGAUUGGAUUGCAGAGAGAACAUGUUUUAUUUUUCAUGGAAGCUUCAUGUAAGUGAUGUUAUUCUCUGUCAAACUGGAAGUUUUCCCUUACUACCUGCUUGACAAAGCUCAUUUAACUCAAGGAUGCAUUUUUAGCCAUUGCUCCCUGCUGUACUUUGUGCUGCAGAGGUCAGAGCUGUGGGAUGACACUGUGGGAAUUAGAUUGCUGCAUCUGGAAAGGUCGGGUGUGGGAGACCACAGGCAUCCAGGCAUUCCAGGCCAGCGGUAGAAAGGGCAAACCUAACUGGGUUAGUUUCUUUAUUUGUGGUUUUCCUUUAGAGUAACCACAGAUGAAGUUCAGACUUUACUGUUUACUGCACUCCUUAACACAUUCUAUUUUGGGUUUUUAAGCUGGCUGGAACCUUGCUUUUCUUGGGGAACACAUCUUUUCCCAUUGUUUUAGGAUUGUCCCACUGUUUGCUUGACCCUCUCCCAGCCUUGCAGUUGCAAUCCCUCAAGGAGACUGCAGUUUCUGGCAAAGCACCAGCUUUGCAACAGGCUUCCACUUUUGGGAUUAUUUUUUUUUUUUUUUAAAGCCCUAUUGAGAUUUGAGGCUUGUUGAGAAACCAAACUUCUUUGUUGUGAUGCCAUGACCUGUGCCAGUUCUGUGUGGUUCCCCUUGGCCCUUCAGUCAGUAAAAGGAGGUGAAGGGGAAUUUUGUUUCCUUUCCAGCAGCCUUGUGCAUUCAAUCCCAGCAGCUGCCAUACCACAACUUGCUUUCCCUAGCCGUGACUCAGCAAAGGCUUUGCAGACAGCCAACUCAGCCUGGAUGGAAAAAUCCCAAAGCAGACUGUUGUGUUAAUAUUAGUCAUCAAGGCAAUAUAAAAUGCUCUGUUAUUUUCAUUCAUGGAAUAGUUUGAGUCAUUCUGUGCCACUGUUACCAAGCAAUAUUUGACAUGUCAGCUGCGAGGUGAAGAUGUGCUGGGCAGGUUGUUCUGGCUGGUUGGAGCCACAGAGAGCAGAGAGUGGAACAGUGCUGCAGAUUGAGGUGAGGUCUGGAGCUCUUUCCCCAGCUCGGUAAAACAGGUUUCAGGCUCUAGGCUGGAUGCUCCAGAAGGAAAUACUGAGUUUCAUCAGGGCUGCAAGACUUUGAAGGCUGGGAAUUGAACUUCCUGAGCAGACCAAGCCCUUCUGAAGUCAGAGAAGUGGCAGUGCUGAGUGGAGAGAGGGAGGUUGAAAGCUUCUGUUGGCAUUUGUGGAAGGAGGGGACGGGAUGAGGUGGCUGCCCUGUCUGUGCAGGCACCAUGGCAACAUGCUCAUGCCCACUCUCCUGCCAUGCUCAUUAAACUGAGCAUCAGGCACUCUCAGAGUGGGGGACAGGGAAUGAAACCAUCUCUUUACACAAAAAAAAGGCAAGACCAAGUUAUGUAGGAAAAAGAUGAGAAGAAAUGAUGCAUGAAGGGCACUUCUGAGGGCAAGUCAGUUCCUAAAUCAGGUUUUCCAGCAGCUUCAGGUCAUUUGCUGAGUUAGGCUGGCAAAUGCCCUCUGCUCCUCUUGCUUGUAGCUUAAAAAUAAAAACCAAACCACUAUUUUCACAACAUGGCCAAAUCUCAGUGGUGGACAGGGACCAGUUAUUUAAGAUGUUGAAGAUGGAGGUGCUCAGUGGCAGCUGGGAUUUCCUGGCUCCUCGGGGAAGUCCCAAACUGUGUGCCAUAAGCUAAAAAGUGCUUAUAGAGAAGCAGCAGCUGCUUGGUGGAAGUAAAAGGUCAACCUGACCAGUUGCUCACGGUCAUGAAAAUAAUCCAAAUGUUCUGUCUGAUAUUCAGUUGCUGUUGCAAAUGUGAGGCAGUGUUUACCUCUACAAAACUUGCUGUAUGUGAUUUAAAAUGUCUGGUUAAAUAUUCUAUAGCUAUAUUUAGUUAAGAUUUUAAGAGCACUUGACGUGACUCAUCUAAUAGUAUAUAUAUAUGAAUAUUUUUUUAAUUGUAGAAAUCAGUUUAAAACAUAGUUUUUAAUAAUUUGAACUGUUUGGUUCAGGUAGUUCUAGGAGUUCAUCAGAGAAGAAAUAGCCAUUAACCACUACAUGAGUUUUUAACCUUAAUGUUCUGUGUAUCUCACACUGCAGAUUUAAUCUGAUUGUGACUGUAACGUGUCUUAGUAUCUGCUGCUAUUUUGUGUUGCAUAGUCAAACUUGCUUUGUUGAAGAGCAUUUUAAAAGGCAUAUUUUUUUGUUACAGAAAAUGAAAACAGAAAUGUUAUUACAGCUGUCUGCCUGUAGCUCACUUACUGCUUACAGAAUCCACCAACUCCUGGCUGAGGCAGAGUAUGUGAGUCAGAGGCUUUUCCCUUUGUGCAUGUGGAGGAAGAACCCUGCACAGAAUUGCAGCUGCUUUGCUCCAGCCACAGCCCUGUCACCAGAGAUUACACUUGAGAAGCCAGAAAUCAGUGUGCCAUGCUUACCUGCAGAACUAAGUACACAGAUAGGCUUUGUGUUUGCAUUUUUCCCCCCUUUUAUUCCCUGGAAGCUGCAGAGAUGACUGCAAAUACUUGUUCAGCACACGAUGUGAUCCCCUUGUGUUUAUCUUAAGGCCAAACUUACUUGUAGGAAUCUACAUGCACUAAUGAAGCUUAGACCAUAGACACUAAUUAACUAAAACACUUUGUUUAUAACUGUUUCCUCUAAUUCCAUGUACAGGGUAUAAUCUCUGCAGGGUAGUGGGCUGUGGUUUUUGUUAAAGAUUUUUCCUUGUUAGAUGAGUUUCUGUUGCUGCAGUUUGUGUGUGAGGAGUUAUCAGGACCAUGUGUUCAGUUUUGUGCAAUUGCUUUGAAGUUUUUUUAAAAGAAUUUGUCAUCGUGACCAAAGCUUUUUUUAAGGAAAAAUUGGUUGUGUUUGAAUGGACUUCACCUGUUUCAGUAGAAACUGCCAUCAUUAAACAUGUUGAAAUCCC